rnacentral:tRNA from 1 species
UGGGGUGUAGCUCAGAGGUAGAGUGCUUGCCUAGCAAGUGUGAAGCCUGGGUUUGAUUCUCAGCAUUGCUU